CAGCACUGCUCAAUUCCGCAGCGCAGAAGAGUAUUCAAUGUCGAGAAGGGGAAGAGGAAAAAGAUACUACCACAGGAGCGGCGUGAACAACGACGAAGACAGCAGGCAACCUCUGCGGGUGGCAAAGGCUUAUCACGGCUGAAGCCAGGAACCGCAAGUCCUUGCAACGGACAGCCAGCCGGAGACCUGGCUGAUUCCCUGUUGUCUCCCUGUCUGGCAGCAUACGACGGUCGCAUGACCCUCAGCUUCAGUGUGGACUCAGACGAAGGCAUUGUGAACUCAACGCUGUCCGUAACGAACUGGACCGGCAGGAAGAGAAGAAGGAAGAGCGCAACAAUAACUGCGAACUCUAAUCACUGUUGCCUUGCAGUUGUUGCACAAGACGGCGUGAGCUUCGCACCUACCGCCGUCGACGACACGACCAGGACUUCUCGACGACUAUUGAUCGACUAUUGACUAAAAGUGACUUUCGUGUAACUCGGGCCACGUUCACCUACCUGGUUGAAGUGUGCCAAAGUAUGGCCAAGGUCGACACCCACUUGAGGGAAGCCGCCCAGACAGAGAGCAGCCGUUGCCCUGUACAGGUUGUCGUCAUCUGCGGAAGACAGGACAGUGGCGAACCUGGUCGGAGUCAGCAGGUCUUUCGUUAACAUUGUCUACAGGAAGUUCUGCGCAGAAAUUGUCGGUAAACUGGAAGUACAAUUUGUCAGGCUUCCAACAGCCACUCAGCUGCCAGAGCCCCUGCGUCGGUUCGAAGCCGUAUAGGUUUUCCACAAUGCUUUGGAGAUCUGGGUGGUUGCCACAUUGAAGUGUGCCCGCCGAAGCACCAGGACUCGGAUUACUACAGUUACAAGCAGAUGGUACAGUGUUAUUUGCUUGCCAUUGCCGACCCUACCUACAAGUACUCGUAUGUGAAUGUGGGGUCCCUGGAACGAACCACGAUUCAUCAGUGCUUUAGGGGUGGGUCCGGGCUAUCUGCUGUAAUCAGUAACGGAUCCAGAGGGGUGGGGUGAUCGCGCCCUCAAAACGUCAGUCUAUACAUUGAAUUUCCUUCUCUCCCCUCCCCCACUACGCUCUCCGACAAAGGAACCGCCCCUCCCAAACCGAGGGUCUGGAUCCGCCAGUGUCUGUAAUCAGCAGUACCCUCUUCAACACAGCCACAAUGACCUUGCAAGGUGUGGAUGUGGACCCUGUCAUACUCUGUGACCAGGCUUUUCCACUACAGCAACACCUAAUGAGUGUGAUAUUGACAACUACACAGCCAUCAGCAGAGCCUGCUGCAUCCUCCACAACAUCUGUGAGGACCUCAACGACAGAGUUGAGCAACAUUGGAUUGACGAGUGCAGACAUCUCCCGAGGGAGAUGCCACAACUGCACACAUCUGCUGCGACGAAAAGCGGAGCAUGCGUUCGUGAUGCCCACGUGCAACACCUGUACGACAUGAUGAUCACAGACUAAAGGCAUGCUGCAGAAGACCCUGCGCUGAAAGGUGGUCCACUCACCUAUCAAAGAGGGCCCUUUUCAGGGCCACCCCAAAUGCCUAGAUCAAAGGCUACAUCUGCGUGUAGAACAAACCCUUCAGAUUUUUACGUUUGUACAAGCGAUCAGGGGUGGUCAUAAGCUUCUCCCUCAAAAUGUCUACAUUAAAGACAACGUAUGUAUC